GAUGAACGCUGGCGGCGUGCUUAACACAUGCAAGUCGAACGAUGAAGCCCAGCUUGCUGGGUGGAUUAGUGGCGAACGGGUGAGUAACACGUGAGUAACCUGCCCUUGACUCUGGGAUAAGCGCUGGAAACGGCGUCUAAUACCGGAUACGAGCUUCCACCGCAUGGUGAGUUGCUGGAAAGAAUUUCGGUCAAGGAUGGACUCGCGGCCUAUCAGGUAGUUGGUGAGGUAACGGCUCACCAAGCCGACGACGGGUAGCCGGCCUGAGAGGGUGACCGGCCACACUGGGACUGAGACACGGCCCAGACUCCUACGGGAGGCAGCAGUGGGGAAGAUUGCACAAUGGGCGCAAGCCUGAUGCAGCAACGCCGCGUGAGGGACGAAGGCCUUCGGGUCGUAAACCUCUUUUAGCAGGGAAGAAGCGAAAGUGACGGUACCUGCAGAAAAAGCACCGGCUAACUACGUGC
rnacentral:rRNA from 1 species